rnacentral:rRNA from 1 species
GAUGAACGCUGGCGGCGUGCUUAACACAUGCAAGUCGAACGAUGAAGCCCAGCUUGCUGGGUGUUUUAGUGGCGAACGGGUGAGUAACACGUGAGUAACCUGCCCUUUACUCUUGGGUAAGCCCGAGCGACGGGGACUAAUACUUGAUAGGAAAGACUACCGCCGGGUGGGUGCUGGAGAGAAUUUCGGGCAUGGCUGUACUGUCGGCCUAUCAGCUUGUUGGUGGAGUAAUGGCUCACGAAGGCGAAGACCGGUAGCCGGCCUGAGAGGGUGACCGGCCACACUGGGACUGAGACACGGACCAGACUCGUACGGGAGGCAGCAGUGGGGAAUAUUGCACAAUGGGCGAGAGCCUGAUGCAGCGACGCCGCGUGAGGGAUGACGGCCUUCGGGUUGUAAACCUCUUUUAGUAGGGAAGAAGCGAAAGUGACGGUACCUGCAGAAGAAGCACCGGCUAACUACGUG